rnacentral:rRNA from 1 species
CGGACGGGUGAGUAACAAGUGAGCAACCUGCCUUAGACAUUGGGAUAGCCUCGGGAAACCGGGAUUAAUACCAAAUGAAAUCACAUAUGCACAUGCAUAAAUGAUCAAAGCUCCGGCGGUCUAAGAUGGACUCGCGUCCCAUUAGCUAGUUGGUGAGGUAACGGCCCACCAAGGCGACGAUGGGUAGCCGGCCUGAGAGGGUGAACGGCCACAUUGGAACUGAGAAACGGUCCAAACUCCUAUGGGAGGCAGCAGCA